CUUGGCUGGAGGCUCCAGGAAGACAACUGGGCAGUAGGGGAGACGUGCCAAUUGUUGCCAGACAUCCCCGUCACAUUUUGAAGAGAAUCUGGUUGGUGUAGCUAAUAAACAUUGGCUGUUUGACAGAGCCUUGCCAUUGGCUGCCUCAGGGCCUGGCACCCGGUGGUCUCUGUCAGUGUCGGCUGCUAUGGUCCUAAUGGAAGAGCCGGCGUGGAGACAAAGAAACAUGACGCA